rnacentral:rRNA from 1 species
AACUCGGAGAUAGCUGGUUCUCCCCGAAAGCUAUUUAGGUAGCGCCUCGGACGAAUACUACUGGGGGUAGAGCACUGUUUGGGCUAGGGGGUCAUCCCGACUUACCAACCCCAUGCAAACUCCGAAUACCAGUAAGUAAUAUCCGGGAGACACACGGCGGGUGCUAACGUCCGUCGUGAAGAGGGAAACAACCCAGACCGCCGGCUAAGGUCCCAAAGUUCUGGUUAAGUGGGAAACGAUGUGGGAAGGCUCAGACAGCUAGGAUGUUGGCUUAGAA